AUAAUACUCCAUAGAUUAGAGACACUGGAAUGUUCUUUAGUCGAAAGUUCUGGCGCCUUAGGAUGGAUCUGCGGUCGAUUAGGUUGUUGUUGGGGUAACGGCCCAACAAGCCUGUAAUCGAUACGGGUUGUGGGAGCAAGAGCCCGGAGAUGGAAUCUGAGACACGAUUCCAGGCCCUACGGGGCGCAGCAGGCGCGAAAACUUUACAAUGCAGGAAACUGUGAUAAGGGAACUCCGAGUGCCCGUAUACGCGGGCUGUCCAGGUGUUUAAAAAUCAUCUGAAGAAAGGGCCGGGCAAGACCGGUGCCAGCCGCCGCGGUAAUACCGGCGGCUCGAGUGGUGGCCACUAUUAUUGGGCUUAAAGCGUCCGUAGCUGGACCGAUAAGUCUCUUGGGAAAUCCGCCGGCUCAACCGGCGGGCGUCUAAGGGAUACUGUUAGUCUAGGGACCGGGAGAGGUGAGAGGUACUCCGGGGGUAGGAGUGAAAUCCUGUAAUCCCCGGGGGACCACCGAUGGCGAAGGCAUCUCACCAGAACGGCUCCGACAGUGGGGGACGAAAGCUGGGGGAGCGAACCGGGAUUAGAUACCCGGGUAGUCCCAGCCGUAAACUAUGCGCGUUAGGUGU
rnacentral:rRNA from 1 species